ensembl:lncRNA
GGUUGUGGCAGUUGACUGCGGGAGGAUGAAACCCCACUAUAUAAAGUAGAAGACAUCCAACUUGGUCUCCGGAAAGGUUCAGAAACGCCAUCCUAGUCAGCUAUCAACCGAAACCUCCAUCCUCAAACUCUUGAGUAAAGAAUGACGACCUUGAGUGUGAUACUGCUGUUCACCCUGCUGGGUGUCCUGUUAGCAAGUCCGUUCAUUGACCGCCUGCAGCAAAAUGCUAAACAACAGGAGGCUGAAGAGAAGACCAAGGACCAGCCUCUUCAAAUGAUGUAUAGAAUGUUUUGUGGCUUGAGUUGUUUGCCUCAUUAUCAAAAAACUUUGAAGAUGCAGACAUUGAGGAUCCUCUCCCAUCACCUGAUGGAAUGGAGCACACUUCACCUUUCAUCACCAACACAUACGUGACCAUAACGCUAUCCACAUGUAUUUAGACCUAUAAAGUAGAUAAUAGUAGUAGUAGUGGUGGUGGUGGUAGUAGUAGUAGGUGUGGUGGUGUGUAUUUAUCUGGUUUUUUAAAAUCAGAUUUUACUGCUUGCAUCAGGUACUUCAUGUGGAAAAGUGUUCCAUGUUGUCGUGGCUCUUUGUAGUACUGUAUGUAGUAGUGAUGGUGGUGGUAGUAGUAGUAGCAGCAUCAUUUCUUUGUCCUGCUGUAUGAGUGAUCAUUUUUCUUUGUGUAAUUUACUUUUUGAACUUGCUGUAGUGAUGUCAUGUUUAUAAUUGUUAUUUUCUUAUAUUUUGGGUGUCCUUGGGUAUCUUGAAAGCGAAUUCUAACUUUGGAACAAUGGUGAUUACGACAAUGAUGAUUAUUACGAUGAUGUAAUGCUGCAUGGCUUUAUCUGUUGUAUUGUGAUCCUACAGUAAACCAGCAGAAUACAUUAAAAGGCCUGAUUCUUGACUAGUACAGGCUUCAGCUCUGUUUCCU